GGAGACUGCACCCCGUGUACCUGUCCUCACCGCCCCCCUUUCAGUUUCAGCCCCACCUGUGUCUUGGAAGGUGAUGGUGGUUUCCGGUGCGAUGCCUGCAUCCCUGGCUAUGAAGGACAUGUAUCGUGAAAGGUGCACUGAGAACGGUCACAAGGAGCAAAGGACGCCUGCUUGUUGUAUCUCACGUGGGUUGUAGUCAGGAUAGUGACCUGGGAGUCCCUACACAUUUGUUUGUGCAGAUGGGAGACCACAUUGAAAUUUCAUAGCAAGGUCUCCAAAGAGGAGGGUGUUAUAGUGGCAUAUUAUUUGUGUUUUAAUAAAUAAAGCUUACCACACUAGUCCGCCAUACAGGCAGGCAGCGAUAGCACACACCUUUAAUCCCAGCAGCCAUACUAGUUAGCCAUAGAGGCUGAGGGAGGGUGAUGCUCGCCUUUAAUCCCAGCACUAGAGAGGAAAAUAAGAUGGGAGGAGACAGGUCCCAGCUCAGUCUCAGGCUGAGGAUUCGUGGAGGCAGGAUCACCCAUUUCAGUCCAGGGUCGAGAUAAGAGCCCCAGGAUGGCUGCUUUGCUUUUCUGAUCUCCAGGUUGAGCCCCAGUAUCUGUCUCUGGGUUUUUAUCAUUCGUGCUACCGUGUGUGCUCUGCAUUUCAUUUGAAAAGGGAUGACGGCCUCUGGGCAGAGCUGGUGCAUAUGUUCCUGGUUGACGCAGACUGCCCUGUCUAAGAAUGGCCAAGAUCAAAUACACUGAUGACAACUUAAUGCCCGAGAGGUUGUGGGGAAAGGGAACACUCCAGCAUUGCUGGUGGGAGUGCAAACUGGUACAGCCCCUUGGAUGUCUGUCAGUGUGGCAGUUUCACAGAAAAUUAGGAAACAACCUUCCUCAAGACCCAGUAAUACCACUUUUGGGUAUAUAUGCAAAACACGUUAGAACCAAGUAAAAUGUAGUUGACAUUUGCAUUCUGUGCUACUUGACAAGUCCUGUGUGGGUCUAUUCGCGCUUAUUUCUCUUCGCCAGGAAAGAGCUUGUGAAUGUCACACUUCACCAUCACCCUUCUGAGCUCAAGUUCUUUUUAUUUAUUUAUAUUUUAUAUAUUUAUUAUUAUGUAUACAGCAUUCCUUCCAUGUAUGUCUGUAGGCCAGAAGAGGGCACCAGACCCCAUUAUAGAUGGUUGUGAUGAGCUCAAGUUCUAAGUAGAGAUUUUAAAACCUGUAUUAAACUUUGUAUAAAUGAUCUUCAAUGGAGAAAACAUUGUGCAUUUAAAUAGGGCAUGAGUAAAACCUCUCCUACCCAAUAAACAAAACCAAGAGUAA